rnacentral:lncRNA from 1 species
UCACAGGGUUCAACCACAUUUGAAAAAGUGCUUUGAGGGCAUUGCAAAGCUCAGAUUUUUAGACAACUUAGACAUUACGCAUAUGGAAAGCAGUGAGGGAGAGGUGAUUGAAUUGACUGGUAUUAUAUCUGUUGCCAGUGCUAGAGGUCAAGUUGAAAAAUGGCUUUU